AUGUUAAUAAACCAAUUUAAUUCGCGAACGGAAUUGGGAAAAUUAGGGCACUCCAUAAAACCCUAGCUAACAAAACCCCCGUACUCGUCACUGUUGGUUGGUUGAAGUUCUACAUUCGUUGAAUCUUCGGUGAAAAUGAGUCGGCAAAUGGAAGAAGAUGCUCCGGU